AGCAGUCGCCGCGGUAAUACGUAGGGUGCGAGCGUUAAUCGGAAUUACUGGGCGUAAAGCGUGCGCAGGCGGUUCGUUAAGACAGAUGUGAAAUCCCCGGGCUUAACCUGGGAACUGCAUUUGUGACUGGCGAGCUAGAGUAUGGCAGAGGGGGGUAGAAUUCCACGUGUAGCAGUGAAAUGCGUAGAGAUGUGGAGGAAUACCGAUGGCGAAGGCAGCCCCCUGGGCCAAUACUGACGCUCAUGCACGAAAGCGUGGGGAGCAAACAGGAUUAGAUACCCCUGUAGUCCCUGUCUCUUAUAC
rnacentral:rRNA from 1 species